rnacentral:lncRNA from 13 species
GCUUUGGGCAACACCUGUACUGUCCAGUUUACAGAUGGACAUGUUCAGACAGUGUCUCACGGAACAAUUGGUUACCUUCCACUAUUCGGCUGAAUGAUCAACCCAUACGGUGUGAUGAGUAACAGGGACAGGGGGAGAGGGUGGCGAUUAUUAGCCCAUGGGCCAGCAUCAUGUGAUCGACCCAAUGUCUACCUCCUCUCCUGUUCCAACCAGCAACCAGGGAGCCUCAAACGGAAAGAUAGGAGAAGCACUCAACGACCUGUACUGGAGGCCUUGCCUGUUGAAGUUGGUAUUGGGAAUCGGGGGAUCAGCAUGGGAUGCAAGUUUCCAUCAUGGCUUCUCCAGCUGAGGAAGAAAGCCCUGCUGUUCAACAUAGACGCUGUACUGAUGGUCUUUCGUCGCUUGGCCAAGUCCUUUGAGGUGAUCCUGCUGAACAUAUUUCUCUAAGGAUAUAAUGUUGGCCUGGGGCUGAGUGUGCACCUGGUGUACCUGGACGAAAGUUCACCUAAGAAGCUGAGAGGAUUCCUGACCCUAACUAGCUCCAUCUUCAGUGGCUUCAGGAAGGUCAUGGUCAGAUU